rnacentral:rRNA from 1 species
CGAGAAAGCCCGCAAGGGUGAGUAAGGCGGCGCACGGGUGCGUAACACGUGGGUAAUCUGCCCUGAAGUCCGGAAUAACUCACCGAAAGGCGUGCUAAUGCCGGAUAAGACCACGGGAGCUCCGGCUCCUGCGGGAAAAGGUGGCCUCUGUAUACAAGCUAUCACUUCAGGAUGAGCCCGCGGCCCAUCAGCUCGUUGGCGGGGUAAUGGCCCACCAAGGCUACGACGGGUAGCUGGUCUGAGAGGACGAUCAGCCACACUGGAACUGAGACACGGUCCAGACUCCUACGGGAGGCAGCAGUGGGGAAUCCUGCGCAAUGGGCGAAAGCCCGACGCAGCAACGCCGCGUGUGUGAUGAAGGUCUUCGGAUCGUAAAGCACUGUCGCGAGGGACG